CCUACGGGGGGCAGCAGUGGGGAAUAUUGGACAAUGGGGGCAACCCUGAUCCAGCCAUGCCGCGUGUGUGAAGAAGGCCCUCGGGUUGUAAAGCACUUUCAGUGAGGAAGAACGCCUGGUGGUUAAUACCCAUCAGGAAAGACAUCACUCACAGAAGAAGCACCGGCUAACUCCGUGCCAGCAGCCGCGGUAAUACGGAGGGUGCGAGCGUUAAUCGGAAUUACUGGGCGUAAAGCGCGCGUAGGUGGCUUGAUAAGCCGGUUGUGAAAGCCCCGGGCUCAACCUGGGAACGGCAUCCGGAACUGUCAAGCUAGAGUGCAGGAGAGGAAGGUAGAAUUCCCGGUGUAGCGGUGAAAUGCGUAGAGAUCGGGAGGAAUACCAGUGGCGAAGGCGGCCUUCUGGACUGACACUGACACUGAGGUGCGAAAGCGUGGGUAGCAAACAGGAUUAGAUACCCUGUAGUC
rnacentral:rRNA from 1 species